GUUUAACGGCCGCGGUAUCCUAACCGCGCAAAGGUAGCACAAGUAAUUGUCUUUUAAUUGUAGAAGUGAAUGAAAGGCACCACGAGGAUUAAGCUGUCUCCUUUCUCCAAUCAAUGAAACUAAUCUUCUCGUGAAAAAGCGAGAAUAACCCCAUAAGACGAAAAGACCCUAUGGAGCUUUAAACAACUAACACCUGCUCACCAUACCCGAGCACCCUGAUUACAAGUUUUUGGUUGGGGCGACCACGGAGCACAACACACCCCCCGCGUUGAAGACACUUCCUAAAUAAAUAAGCAACAGCUUUAUGAAUCAAUAAAUUGACACAAUUGACCCAAUAUUUUGAUCAACGAACCCAGUUACCCUAGGGAUAACAGCGCCAUCCGCUUCAAGAGCACACAUCGACAAGCGGGCUUACGACCUCGAUGUUGGAUCCGGGUAACCAAGUGGAGUAACUUCUACUUAAGGUUCGUUUGUUCAACGAUUAAAACCC
rnacentral:rRNA from 1 species